rnacentral:lncRNA from 1 species
GUUGAUGGCGCCAAUAAGAGAAGCUUCGUGACUUCUCAUCUGAACACCGUAAGUUAAGAUCGAAGAGUCUUUCUGAAAUAAGGCAUCUCUUCAACCCAACUUUGAUGUACACAUGGCAUUUCUUAACUUAUGGGGUGUGAGAAAUAGACAAGAGGCAUGAGAUAAAUUGUAAGAGGGCAUGAGAUGUUUUGGAUUGCACCU